ACGGCUGGCACGCUGCGCUGAUCCAAAGCCAGGAGCCAGGUGCUUUCUCCUGGUGUUCCACGUGGAUGCAGGUGCCCAGGCACUUGGGCCAUCCUCCACUGCCUCCCCAGGCCACAGCAGAGAGCUGGACUGGAAGAGGAGCAACUGGGACUAGAACCUGGUGCCCAUAUGGGAUGCUGGCACUGUAGGUGGAAGAUUAACCGAGUGAGCCACGGCGCCGGCCCCAAGAAAAGCAUCUUCGAUAAGCUCACAGCCAGUCCGAGCUGAAUCCGAAUUCAAGUUUGUCUAAUGCAGUGGUUCUCAACUGGGGGCAUCCAGGCCCCUGGAGGCCAUUUGGCAAUGUCUAGAAACAUUUUUGGUUGUCCUAACUGGCGGAGUGGAGGGAGUUGCCCUGGCAACUGAGAUGGAAACCAGGGAGGGUGCUGAACAUCCUACUAUGCACAGAGCAGCACCCCACCCACUCACCCAGCAAGAAGUUAUCCAGCUCAAAAUGUCAACAGUGCUGAGAUUGAGAAAUCCUCGGCUCCAAGCCUGUGUUUUUUGCCUGGAGGAGGUGAGUUGGGGUUGGGGGUGGGGUUGGUGAGCAGAACAAAAUGGAGAAGGGCCACUCCAAGCUUCCCAAGUGGGAAGGGGAUAGGAGUUCUAUGCUAAGGAUAAUGGAGAAUGAGGGCAGCUGGUGAGACUUCUCUUUCUUCCAGGCUUGGCCAGGGCUCUGCUCAGUUCCUCCCAGCCUUGCCAAGUCAGUCCUGGGACUUCUCACUAAGCUUGUCCUGGAGUGACCCCAACUCCUAGCUCAGGGUAGGGGCAGAAUAUUUACCUGAAUCUCCCUGCAGGACUUCCCAGCCAAAGCCCCUGGCUUCUGGGACCAGUGUGUUCCACCUGCACUCCACGUUAGCACCCUUGCUGUAGGGGUGGGAGUGCAGGCAAGGUACCACUGAAAGUAAAAAAAAAAAAAAAAAAGGCACAGCCAAGGCAGCAGGUGGCAUCUGAGAACAACUAGAAAUAGUGGUUGGAGAAAGCCUCCCCCCUAGCAACUCCGAGUGAGGAGGAGCAGAGCUACUUGAGGAGGGGAUAGGCAGCAGCCGGCCCAGGGAAAGCUUCUGACCCCAAAGUUCGCUUCCCACAGCCCUCCUUCUCCUCUAGGGCUGGUCCUCAGCUUCCCAGUACCCUCCCCAGUGCACCCAGCCAGCCACCAGCCCAGGGAGGGCGGUCUGCUGACUGCUGACAGGAAAUACCUUUCCUUCUAGGCCCAGCACCUCAGCAGAUUGGGGGUGGUGGGGACAGACAGUCUUGAGUGAUGGGGAAGAGAAAGGAUCAUGCAAUCCUGUCCCCAUAUUUGGGGUUCCAGCCAAGGGAGGAGGGGGUGGAGGGCAAGCCAGGAGGAGGAUGUGGUAACAGCUGAUUCGUCCCCUGAGGUUACACUUUCCAACAAUCAGCUGUUACUGGGGCGGAAGGCAGGAAGUUUCCUUAAAGGCACAAUGUUCUGAACACAGGCUCAGGAUUCCGGAGCUCGGAGGACCCGCAGCAGUCCCCUGGCACAGCCUGUAUCUAACGAAGAAGGGACUGUCUCGGGCUCCAGGCUCACCCCUUCGCCCAGUUAGCCUCCUCCCCAUCUCGGACCUACAGACAAGUCCCCAACCCCCUAUCCAUCCCUUCCUGGGGGUGGUGGUGGGGGUCCCAGACUCGCCCUUUAAAUAGCAGCUCAGCCGCUUUUGCCAAGUCAUUGGGUUCAUUUCGGUUUUUGCCCUUCCCCCGCACCUCGAGCCUCUGAUUGGCCCCUGGGGAAAGAGCAGCCUCCUCAUUGGUCUCCACCUUUGAAAUCUCGUCCUUAAGUAGGCCUGAGUCAGAGAGCGCCUCGGAGGGCGGGACCGCACUGGGGGUUAACUGGGGAUGGGGCUGCAGGUCGCUCGCGCUUGGCCCGGCCCCGGCGCCCUCCACGCUCCGGCGAGGGCUAUGCCAUGAGCCGCUUGUUAGGGAGCUGCCUCGAGGCGCCCACAAGAGAGGGCUCCUGUGGUUAGGGAGGGCCGGACGAGGCCUCCCCGUGGAAGCCGGGGCUGGGCGAGGCGACCGAGCCCUCAGGGCUUCUCCUGCGGGAGCCUCCGCUGCCCGGGGGCGGGUCUCCACCUUCAGUUCUGCCCACUCCUCGCUGCUUCGCCUGCUCCGCCUCUACUCAGAGAGACACAGCCUCCUGCGGAGGCCAGCGAAUCCGUCUUGGCGUGGUCUCACAGAAGCGCUCGCGGCUCCACAAAGGAGGGGCCGUAGCCCUUUAAGGACUUCCCGGGAUGGAUUCAGAGAGGAGUUUAAAAAUGCCAACUCACAGAGCGCGCUGGCUGCUGGGAGCGAGGGUGUCGGGCCGAGAACUACCUCGACCAGGGUGCACCGCAAACACACGCCUCUCCUUCCUUCUGCUCCUCAGGGCCCUGCUUUGACGUAGCGCUCCUCUCUGCAAGCCGCUCGGGCGGAGGGCUGCGCCACGCCUUUUCACCCAUUGGCCACUUCCCGAGUUGGCAGGCGUGGCUUAGCGCUGCUCCGCGAGGCAAAGGGGUGGCCUCCUUGCCAAUCAGAGCCAAGACGGCCGGGGGGGCGGGACCAAGGCGAAGUGCUGGCGCCCCGAGUGGGUGUGGUCACGUUGCCCAGCAGUGGGCGGUGAUUGGCCCUGGGCGGUGCAAUCGCGGCUUGUGCGUCACGACGCCGCCAGCUGAUCGGAGACUGGAGCCGGUGUGUGCUGGGCACUGGGAAGAGACAGCGCCGCCGGCCGUGGGGAGCGGACGCAGUGAUUUGCUCCCCUACCCUCAGCGACCCCCCACACCCAGCACCAGGAAACCGUACCUCUCCAGUUCUCACCUGGCUGAGCCGCAGUAGUUCUUCAGUGGCAAGCUUUAUGUCCUGACCCAGCUAAAGCUGCCAGUUGAAGAACUGUUGCCCUCUGCCCCUGGCUUCGAGGAAGAAGAGCAAGAGGAGGAGCAGCAGCUGCUAUCCCCGUCUUCUGGAAGGUGACAGGACCAGUGAGUGUGGGUGGUGGAGCCCUUUGGGAAAGGGAACCCUGCUCCCUCCACACUGGCCCAGCAAGAAAGCAAUUCUGGAUUAUAGGCACUGGCUGAAGCGGGGAAGAGAUGGCUCCAGCUACUCCAGUGUAAUUGGUCUUUGUAUGACGAUGGGAAGAAAUGCAGAGAAGAAAAUUCUGUGUCCUUGUUACCCAGAUUCCCAUUCUUCCCUAGCAGCCUUUGCAUGUGAGAUCCAAAAGUCAACUUACUCUUCAGGGAAAAGUGAUACUGAAGCUUCCAUCUGAGUGGUCACCCUCCUGCUCUUGCCUCUCCAAGUACUCCCUUAGACUGGCCCAGAGUCUGAGUGAGAGGUACUUACCUGUAUCUGGGAGCUGCUGUCUCAGUUUCUCUACCUGUGAGGUGGGGAAUCACACCGAUGAGUAUACAGCCCACUUGUGCAGCCUAGAGCCUGGGUCCUCCUGCUGUGAGUGGGAAUAAAACAGCUUUGUGAAAAAGAUUUCUUUUUCUUUUAUUUAUCUGAAAGGCAGAGUUAGAGAGAGAGAGAAGGAGUGAUGGAGUGGAGAUCCUGCAUCUGCUGCUUCACUCCUCAAAUGGCCUUAAUGACCAGGGCUGGGCCAGGCCAAAAGCAGCAACCAGGAGCUUCAUCUGGGUCUCCCAUGUGGGUGCUGGGGCCCAAGGCUUCAAGCCAUCUUCUGCUGCUUUCCCUUGCCAUUAGCAAGGAGCUGGGUGGGAAGCAGAGCAACCGGGACUUGAACCAGCACUCAUAUGGGAUACCAGCAUUGCUUAACCCCUUAUGCCACAACACCAGCCCCAAAGAUAGAUUGAUUAAUUGAUUUGAAAGGGUGGGGUGCAGGGACAGAGAGUGAAGAGAUCAGAGAGAGCUUCUACCUGAUGUUUGACUCCUCAAAUGGCCACAACAGCCUGUUCUGGGCCAGGCCAAAGCCAGGAGCCAGAACUCCAUCCAGGUCUCCCCCGUGGUACUUGAGCCAUCUUCUGCUGCCUUCUCAGGCACAUUAGCAGGAAAGUGGAUCAGAAGCAGAGUAGCCAGGACUUGAACCUGCACUCCAUGGCCAGCAUCACAACUGGUAGCUUAACCUGCUGCUCCUCAACACCAGCCCCAGAACAGCUUUCCACAAAAGUUAUUGAUCCUUCCGCAUUGCUGACCAUGACCCCAAGAGCUGAGGAGGGUGAGGAGUUGGAGGGAGGGGUCGGAGUCAGACCGAUACAAGGGUUCCUGGGAGCUCCGUCUCUACACUGACUUCCAGUCAUGCAGGAGUGGCCGGGGGACUCCACAGUCACCAGGGUAGAUCUGCAGCCCUUGAUGGGGUUCCAUCUGCCACUGCUCAUUUCUUCCCUGGCUUUGCCUUCCAGGGUAGUGUUGUGAGCUCAGCUCAGCUUGUGCACACAGGAGAUUCUUCCCUUCAGCAAGAGAGAGUUGCACUGUGGGAUAGUGACCUUUUGGAGCAUCAGUCCGUGUCCACCUGCCACCCCCAGCUGCCGAUCCAGCCUCACUCCCGGGCUCAGGCUCCGGUGUGGUUCAGCCUUGGGUUCACUCUCCCUGCCAGUUGAUGGCCGUGUUCAGAGGCUACAGGAAGUGGUUUGGUCUGUUUAGUGGGACAAGACGUGCUGCGGGCUGUCUCCUGCUCUGCAGUUAAGAGAAGCUGGGAGACGUAGGGGAGAGUAGGCCAUUGGACUGAGCCCCUCUGCAGCCGGAGCUGAGGGCAGGAUGUGUCUGGGACAGUUUAGAGGGGGAUGGGCAGACUGAAUCUACUAGGCUGCCAGAAAGAGCGCUGCGUCCCUGGACAUCCUCUCUGUCCUUUCUUCCCCUCACUGCUUCAGUGGCCACAGUGUCUCCCUCCACCCUCGGGUGUGUGGCUCUGCCAUCUUCCCUGUCAUGAAGCAGAGGCAAGGAAGGGCAGCUGGGAGCACAGAGAUAGGACACGGGGACUGGAGAGCACAGAGCCCUGUCUGGAUGUCUGGCAGAAGAGCCCAGCAAGGCCAGGAGCACCCGGGAGGAGGGAGAACAGCCAGGCUCCAGCAGGACAAGCUCCAGCCAUCUCCCGCCCCACUCACCGACUCGCUCCAGCUUCCUUCCUCCCUCAGAAGUCUGGGCACUGGUAAAGUGCUCUGUGGCUCCACCCUCCCCCCUUGCCUCUCACCCUGUAAUUUUAUAUAAGCAGCCGCAAGGAGCAAGAGCCAGCUGUGAAAGGACAGACAGGAAAUUGAUGGAAGAAAGUCAAGUGGAUGCAACCAUGCAAAAAGUGUACACAUCAUUGGUAAAUAAAGGCCAGUGUAACUGAGAGCAUUUUCCCCUUCACAAACUAUAAGGGGAAAAAAGCCUAAUAUUGGUCAGGGUUCGGUGCUAAAAUAACACUGCACAUCUGGUAUAUGGGAGUCUGAACUGAGCCAGACUUCCUGGAAGGCGUGUUGGUAGUCUGCAUCAAACACCCUACACGUUCGUUCCCACGUUCUUUGGCCUGGUAAUUUGACAUUUUAGAAUUUAUCCUGACAGUAACUAAGGAUUUAGUUAUGAUAUGUCCAUCCCAGUAUUGCAAUAGAGAAAAAUGGAAAUGCCUGUAGUAUUGAAAAUGUAUCAUUUUCUGCUGUAAUGAGAAUUGGCACUAGGGGAUCGCUUAAGUAAGCUAUUGUGUAUCUGUCCAGAGGGUGGAGUACCACACAGCCACUCCAGGCAUGUAGACAUUUGAAUGGAAAGAAAAAAUGCCCUUUGAUAUUAAGGAGGUUAUAAAAAUAGAGUAUAUGAUGUGAUCUCAAUUUUGUUUUUGAAAAUAUGAAUGUAUAUUCGUAUAUAGAGAACAGAUUUUUAAAAGAUGAAGAUAUCCUCAAAAAUGUUAAUAGUGGCUUGGAUGGUGGAAUAAAGUAAUUGUACUUUUCCUCUGAUUUUUCUCUGAGUUCCCAAUUUUGUACAUUAAUUGAAUAUUGCUUUCAUAUAAUAAAUAAAGUGUGAACGACGGGUGUAAUGCUUUAAACCUGUAGCGAAGUGGGUAUGCAGGAAGGGACGCCCCUGCCCCGUGUGAGCUGUUGGCUGGGGUGCCUGCAGGUCUGUGAGCUGCUGUGCUCGGCAGCGGCUGGAAUCCCCCUGGGCACACAGGGAAUCGCUGGCUCUCAGGUGCUGGCUGACAGCCAGCUGCAGAGGUGUGUACAAACCUGUCACUCGGGGGAAGUGGGGCCGCCACAGGGUUUUCCUCUCAAGGCAGGAGAAUUCUAGAACGCAACAGCGCCGCUGCUUGGUAUUCAUCUGCUGAUUGUGCCCUAACGCGGAGGUGACCUGUGUGACCUCCCUGCCCCUCGGGUUGGAGGGGGAGUCUCCUUCCAGCCCACCAGGUUCCGAGCCCCAGGGAGGAGGCCCGGGGUACUUCUCUCAAGCGGCCCCCUUUUUGCCUUCCCUUGCUAAUACGGCUCCUCUCUCUAGGAGGGAGGCCGUGGGAGGGGGCUUCCAGUGGGUUGCUUCUUCAGAAUGGGGGCUGCGGUUCCACCUGGGAGAUUCUGUGAAAGGCAGGAGGCAGGACUGCUGAACCUUGGGCGGGCUCGCUGUGAGGUGUCGUGGGGCCGGGAGGCGCAAGGGGUGGCCUCAUGGAAGAUGGGCGCCCCCUCCCCCAGCUGCCGGGGGCGGGGCGGGGAGGGCGGCGCGACCGCCCGGUUCGGUCAAGUGGAAGUGGGUUAAGCUGGCCUUUACCUUCGGGGCUGAGCGGUUGAGUGGGCAGCGAUAAUGAGCAGGCUGUUGCUGUACCCACAGAUGACCGUGGACCCGGUUCAUGGCCACCCACCCUGGGCUCUGGUGCUCGUGGCUGUGUCUGUGGGUUAUUUCCUGGCGGAUGGAGCCGACAUGCUGUGGAACCAGACCUUGGGCCAGGCCUGGGAUCUCCUCUGUCACCAUUUGGUGUGAGCUGCCUCAGCACCGCCGUUCUGUCUGGCCACUACGUGGGCUUCUCCCUGGUGUCUCUGCUCCUGGAGCUGAACUCCGUCUGCUUGCACCUGCGGAAGCUACUGCUGCUUUCUCACCAAGCUCCAUCCCUCGCCUUCAGCAUGAC